ACCUUUUUUUAAAAGAUAAAUAAAUGGAUGCUGUGUGCUCCUGACCAAUGACAAAAAGGGCCAUCCACACUGUUAUUAGCAACAAGUCCAAAC